ACGAACGCUGGCGGCGUGCUUAACACAUGCAAGUCGCACGCUGAAGCUCAGCUUUUGUUGGGUGGAUGAGUGGCGAACGGGUGAGUAACACGUGAGUAACCUGCCCCCUUCUUUGGGAUAACGCCCGGAAACGGGUGCUAAUACUGGAUAUUCACUGGUCUUCGCAUGGGGGUUGGUGGAAAGGGUUUUUCUGGUGGGGGAUGGGCUCGCGGCCUAUCAGCUUGUUGGUGGGGUGAUGGCCUACCAAGGCUUUGACGGGUAGCCGGCCUGAGAGGGUGACCGGUCACAUUGGGACUGAGAUACGGCCCAGACUCCUACGGGAGGCAGCAGUGGGGAAUAUUGCACAAUGGGCGCAAGCCUGAUGCAGCGACGCCGCGUGAGGGAUGGAGGCCUUCGGGUUGUGAACCUCUUUCGCUCAUGGUCAAGCCGCAACAAUGGUUGUGGUGAGGGUAGUGGGUAAAGAAGCGCCGGCUAACUACGCG
rnacentral:rRNA from 1 species